rnacentral:rRNA from 1 species
UACGUAGGGUGCAAGCGUUAAUCGGAAUUACUGGGCGUAAAGCGUGCGCAGGCGGUUAUGUAAGACAGGUGUGAAAUCCCAGGGCUCAACCUUGGAACUGCAUUUGUGACUGUAUAGCUAGAGUACGGUAGAGGGGGAUGGAAUUCCGCGUGUAGCAGUGAAAUGCGUAGAUAUGCGGAGGAACACCGAUGGCGAAGGCAAUCCCCUGGACCUGUACUGACGCUCAUGCACGAAAGCGUGGGGAGCAAACAGG